UGGGGAAUAUUGCACAAUGGGCGCAAGCCUGAUGCAGCCAUGCCGCGUGUGUGAAGAAGGCCUUCGGGUUGUAAAGCACUUUCAGCGAGGAGGAAGGUGGUGAACUUAAUACGUUCAUCAAUUGACGUUACUCGCAGAAGAAGCACCGGCUAACUCCGUGCCAGCAGCCGCGGUAAUACGGAGGGUGCAAGCGUUAAUCGGAAUUACUGGGCGUAAAGCGCACGCAGGCGGUUUGUUAAGUCAGAUGUGAAAUCCCCGGGCUCAACCUGGGAACUGCAUUUGAAACUGGCAAGCCAGAGUCUCGUAGAGGGGGGUAGAAUUCCAGGUGUAGCGGUGAAAUGCGUAGAGAUCUGGAGGAAUACCGGUGGCGAAAGGCGGCCCCCUGGACGAAGACUGACGCUCAGGUGCGAAAGCGUGGGGAGCAAACAGAUUAGAUACCCUGGUAGUCCACGCUGUAAAACGAUGUCGAUUUUGGAGGUUGUG
rnacentral:rRNA from 1 species